CCACCUUGCAGUUGGCAGCUGAAGUCAGUGGUACUGGGACUCACAGAUCCUAAUCUGCGCUGUUACAAAUUUCAACAAGAAAAAUACUCAGGUGUUUUUUCUGACUCAUAUGAGACUGUGUUUUCUUUGGAUUUAACCUCUUCCUAUGGCUUUCAAUAUUAAUUAUGUUGGUGUACAAAAUGGCAGUUCUAUCCUUCGAACCAACACAAUAGUAUUUGUGAAUCAGACUUUCCAUGUCACCAGCCAGAAAUCCUAGGAAAGUUCAGGAGAUGUCCUGACUUUAUGGUCGUCCUGCAGGAAGUACCAGUUUCUAGCAGGCAUUCUUAGUACCCAGAUCUGUCAUCAACAGUGAGUUGUCCUGGACCUCUGACCACACUUGAAGAUGCAUUUAUGUUGGAAGUGCCCUAUAGAUUGACCAACAAGUUCAAAAUUUGAGAAAUAUCUUCAGACUCUUUUAUAGCAGAAUUAUGGGACUCCAGUGGGGGAAUUUGGCCAAAAGCAAUGACUCCAAGCCUGGUGCAUUUUACCAUAAUGUGAAGGAAAUUGUUAGAACAUGACUUGGACUAGAUAUACACAGCUAAGAAUCCAGGAAGAAACAAUGCUUUGUUUUCCAACAGAAGAAAAUAAAAGCUUCAUUUUAAUCAUUUCCCCUCCUUUCUCUCUCUUUUUGUUCAAUUUCCAUGCAUGGGCAAUAUCUUAAACUGGCAGUACAAGAUGUUCUUGCAAAUGAUGGAACCAUUUCUUCCUUGACAUCAGACAUACUUCAUCUACUAUCUAGUUUACCAUCUAUCCACAUCCUUGCUACAAUUUCUUGCUCAGAAGUCUGUGCCCUAGCAUUGU